AUACGGAGGAUCCGAGCGUUAUCCGGAUUUAUUGGGUUUAAAGGGUGCGCAGGCGGCCAUUUAAGUCAGCGGUUAAAUCGUGGGGCUCAACCCCAUUCUGCCGUUGAUACUGGGUGGCUUGAUUGCGGUCGAGGUUGGCGGAGUUCGUUGUGUAGCGGUGAAAUGCAUAGAUAUGACGAAGAACACCGAUUGCGUAGGCAGCUGACCAGACCGCAAAUGACGCUCAUGCACGAAAGUGCGGGGAUCGAACAGGAUUAGAUACCCUGGUAGUCCGCACAGUAAACGAUGAAUACUUGUUUUCGGCGAUAUAAUGUCGGAGGCAAAGCGAAAGCGAUAAGUAUUCCACCUGGGGAGUACGCCGGCAACGGUGAAACUCAAAUGAAUUGGCGGGG
rnacentral:rRNA from 1 species